AGAGUUUGAUCAUGGCUCAGGACGAACGCUGGCGGCGUUAACACAUGCAAGUCACGGGGGGGUAGCAAUACUCAACCGGCGAACGGGUGCGUAACACGUGAGCAACCUACCGUUUUCAGGGGGAUAGCCGGCCCAACGGCCGGGUAAUACCGCAUACGUUCUCGAGGGGGAGUCCCCUUGAGAAGAAACCUCCGGGGGAAAACGCGGGGCUCGCGGCCUAUCAGCUAGUUGGUGAGGUAACGGCUCACCAAGGCGACGACGGGUAGCUGGUCUGAGAGGAUGGCCAGCCACAUUGGGACUGAGAGACGGCCCAGACUCCUACGGGAGGCAGCAGUGGGGAAUCUUGCGCAAUGGCCGAAAGGCUGACGCAGCGACGCCGCGUGGGGGAUGAAGGGUUUCGGCUCGUAAACCCCUGUUGCCCGGGACGAAUAUCCUGAUUUGUCAGGAUUGACGGUACCGGGUGAGGAAGCACCGGCUAACUCCGUGCCAGCAGCCGCGGUAAUACGGAGGGUGCGAGCGUUGUCCGGAAUCACUGGGCGUAAAGGGCGCGUAGGUGGCGGGUCAAGCGUGCGGUGAAAGCUCGGGGCUCAACCCCGAGUCGGCCGUGCGAACUGGCCUGCUUGAGCACUGUAGAGGCAGAUGGAAUUCCGGGUGUAGCGGUGGAAUGCGUAGAGAUCCGGAAGAACACCGGUGGCGAAGGCGGUNNNCUGGGCAGUUGCUGACACUGAGGCGCGACAGCGUGGGGAGCAAACAGGAUUAGAUACCCUAGUAGUCC
rnacentral:rRNA from 1 species